CGCCGCCACGGGAAUACGUAGGGGGCAAGCGUUGUCCGGAAUUAUUGGGCGUAAAGCGCGCGCAGGCGGUUUCUUAAGUCUGAUGUGAAAGCCCCCGGCUUAACCGGGGAGAGUCAUUGGAAACUGGGAGACUUAGAGUGCAGGAGAGGGGAGUGGAAUUCCAUGUGUAGCGGUGAAAUGCGUAGAUAUAUGGAGGAACACCAGUGGCGAAGGCGACUCUCUGGUCUGUAACUGACGCUGAGGCGCGAAAGCGUGGGGAGCAAACAGGAUUAGAGACCCCUGUAGUCCCUGUCUCUUAUAC
rnacentral:rRNA from 1 species